UCCUCUUUUCCCCAUUCCCAUCCACCAGUGGAUCUCAUCCAGCGGAGGAGCUCCACUCCGGCCGCAGCCACCAUGUCACAGGACAUGGCAGUAGGGAGCACGUGCUGGAACGCAACAUCGCGACUGGCCGCGUCAGCGCAACCUCCGCCGAUGGUGUGGCAGCAAGCGCUAGGGGUGUAGUAGCACGGCGACCGGCCGCGUCAGUGCAACCUCCGCCGGGGAUGCGGCAGCAGGGGCGGCGACGUCUGCAACGGUUACCGGCGCUGCCGGCGAUGCGACGCGGGAGGUCGGCGACGGCCGGCAGUGCUGCGACGCAAUGCUCCGUCCAUGGAUGUCGGCGCUGCGAUGUGGCCCUCGUCGGCAACUACCAGUGUUACGAUCCAUCACCCACCGGAGGGGUGUGUCAAGCCGGAGAGGUGGUGCGCGACGCGGUGUUCCAACACCAUCGCAGCUCCGACGGUGUCGCGGCCGCUACAACGCAACUCCAACAGUGUCGACGACCUCUGCAUUGCAGCUCCGGCGGCGUCGCGGCCUCUGCAUCGCAACUCCAACGAUAUCGAACGAGCAGUUUAGGCAGCGGCGCGGCGGCUGCGUUGCAGCUCCGGCGGCAUCAACGAACUGCUGGACAAUAGCUUCAGCGGCGUCGCGGCCGCUGCAUCGCACCUCUAGCGGCAUCGACGAGCACUGAUGGUAGCUCCGGCGGCGUCGCGGCAGCUGAAUGCAGCUCUGGCGGUGUCGUGGCCGUUGCAUAGCAACUCCGACGAUGACAUGGCCGCUGCAUUGCAGCUCCGGCGGCGUCGCGGGCGCUGCAUUGCACCUCGAGCGGCAUCGACAAGCACUGCAUGGCAGCUCCGGCGGCAUCGCGGGCCGCUGCAUCGCAGCUCCGGCGGCCUCGACGACUGCUGCAUAGCAGCUCCGGCGGUGUCGGGGCCGCUGCAUAGCAACUCCGACGACGACAUGGCCGCUGCAUCGCAGCUCUGGUGGCAUCAACGUCCGCUGCAUCGUAGCUCCGGCGGCUGCUGUGUCACAACUACGUCGGCGACGAGGCCGCUGCUGCGGUGCUGGUAGGCAUGCUUGGAGCGGACAGUGGGGGCUGUGGUGGUGCCUGUGUUGCGCGAGUGGAAGAUGCAUGUGCGUGAGGAGACCAAACAAACGGCUCUGAUAUGCACAGUUGGACGGUUAUCGAGGUGGUUGAUAACUGCGAGUUAUCAACCGGCUUACGCCUAGCAUCGGCCUUAAAAAAGCUCUGGUCCGUCGCCACUGUGCACGAACACGCACAACCGAUCCUGUGGGGCAAAGCUGACCUUCUGCGCUUGGAAUUUGUUGAGUUGCUGGCCACUUGAGCAGAGCCAUACCAUGUGGUGGUUGCUUUCAACGGAGCAAGAAAGUCAAGAAGCCCCGGGAAUCAAACGCGCCGAAGAUGCUAAAUGGGCCUAUGUUGCGUGUCAUGUGAUCAAAUUAGCUUAUGCCUAAAUGAGUCUACUUAUCAGAACUAUUUAUGUUUGAAAUUUAAACAUUUAAAGAAAUAAGAAAACCAAGAAUUGACAUGCAUUCAUUCAAGUCCAUGGGCAAUCGAGCAAGCACUAAUGAAAAUGAGCAGGGGGUUAAGGAGUCUGGAAGAGUCUUUCGAGGUAGGGGAUUGCAGCAACAAACGGUGUGGAAGUAAUGCAGAGAGGAAAUCUCAUGGCUGGCAAGGAGGACGAGGGCAAUGAGGACCAUCUCGCCAUUGCCGGAUCUAGGCCGUUGGCUGGGAAGGGGGGAGAGGUGUCGACAGAGGUGCGUUCCAGCUUCUCCCUCAUGUCUAUAGACAUGAAAAACCUUUGCCAGCAAGAGAUGAUUGCGGGGGAGCGACAUCAUGGGUUUUGUGCUUAGACGUAGACAUAGUUGAACCGGAGUUUAGUGGCCAUGUUCUGGGAGAGCGAAAUGACAUUGUUUAGGCAAGUGACGAGAAAUUUGGGUUUGUGCCAACAUUGUGCUAUAGUUAAAUUUGUACAAUGCAAAUCGCCACGCAACAAUGUAAAUAAGGUCUUUGUUUUA